rnacentral:rRNA from 1 species
UACGGAGGGUGCAAGCGUUAAUCGGAAUUACUGGGCGUAAAGCGCACGCAGGCGGCUGAGUAAGUCGAUUGUGAAAGCCCUGGGCUUAACCUGGGAAUUGCAGUCGAUACUACUCAGCUAGAGUAUGGGAGAGGGUAGUGGAAUUCCCGGUGUAGCGGUGAAAUGCGUAGAUAUCGGGAGGAACAUCAGUGGCGAAGGCGGGUCUCUGGGCAGUAACUGACGCUGAGGAGCGAAAGCGUGGGGAGCGAACAGG